GUCUCCGUGGCGCAAUCGGUUAGCGCGUCUGACUGUUAUUCACAGGUCAUCAGGAGGUUGACAGUUCGAUCCUGUCCGGGGACG
rnacentral:tRNA from 1 species